AGCAUAAAUUAUGCUACUGACAGAAAUAACCUACAUGGUUCCAAAUAUAGAAUGAGUGUUGGCCUGAGGCUAUUUUAUGUUGAUUUCUCUUUUCAGAUGUUUUAGAAGACUAGAGGGAGAGCAACCCAAACAAAAAGCUGAUUCCACACACAAGCUGCUGGCUGAGCUAUGUUCAGUCUGAAGAGAUUCCAGAGGAAACUUCAGAGGAGAUAACAGCAACAGAGACAAGUAGAAGUUGGUCUUGGGAGCAAUUCUGUGAAGGCCUACAGGAAUCUUUGGAUGGAGUGAGGGAUAGGAAAGAAAGAAAAGCGGUACAAGAAGAAGAUGGAAAGAUCCAACCAUCCUCUGUAGGAGCUGAAUCCCUGAUCGUGGCUGCUGCUUGCUAUGAACUCAAGAUAAUGAAACGCGAUACCAGCACCAUGGGAUUAGCAGCUACAUCAUGGAGCUUUUGAAGACUGUAGUAGGGAAAUAUGACACACUUGUUGCCAACGCUGAUACUGAUGCAAUAGAUUUCUUCAAAUGCCACAGACUCACCGAUGACCGACUGCUCAGUGAACAGUUAAA